rnacentral:rRNA from 1 species
AACGAACGCUGGCGGCAUGCCUAACACAUGCAAGUCGAACGAGACCUUCGGGUCUAGUGGCGCACGGGUGCGUAACGCGUGGGAACCUGCCCUUAGGUUCGGAAUAACUCCCCGAAAGGGGUGCUAAUACCGGAUAAUGUCUUCGGACCAAAGAUUUAUCGCCUUUGGAUGGGCCCGCGUUGGAUUAGCUAGUUGGUAGGGUAAAAGCCUACCAAGGCGACGAUCCAUAGCUGGUCUGAGAGGAUGAUCAGCCACACUGGGACUGAGACACGGCCCAGACUCCUACGGGAGGCAGCAGUGGGGAAUAUUGGACAAUGGGCGAAAGCCUGAUCCAGCAGUGCCGCGUGAGUGAUGAAGGCCUUAGGGUUGUAAAGCUCUUUUACCCGGGAUGAUAAUGACAGUACCGGGAGAAUAAGCUCCGGCUAACUCCGU